AGAUGCUCAAGGCUUUAGUGGCGGUAUUUGGGUGUAUCGAAUGCACAAAUCAGCAUUCGUUGUCACUGUCAGAAAGUUAUGAAGGGGUUAUCAGUUAUGUUAUUUUAUACAGGAGAAAAAUGAGGAACCAGGCACGAAAGGGAGCAAAAAGUGUGAAAGGUGGGUUGACUUUGUAGAUCCGAGAUUUGUGGGGUAUCCGAUGAACUUCUUAAGACUAUACCCUAUAAGAUUACUAGGAUUGUUCAUUUCUCACAUACUCCCUCUCUUUCUUGUGUGAUUAAUUAACUGCAUUAUUUGCAAAUAUAAGAUUAUUGUGGAAGAUGUAUACUGAAGCUAUGUAAGUCGUAUUUGGUGAACUAGGUAGAGUUUUAGACAUAGAGGUCGAUGAGUUUGAUAAGAUUAUGAGUAUUAUUACAACUCUGAUAAACUGUUGGUUGCGUGAGCAAACAUGUUGGACGGUGAGCUACCUAAAGAGGUGAUCCAUAGACUAAAGCGAGCAGCAAAACUUCUCAUCGAAUGUAAAGGUACACAGCCCAUGCUUCUGUUUCUUGUUUUUUUUUUCCAUGAAUGAGCACAUUUGCUUUCAUUGUAGAUUGUAGACAACGAAGUAUGAUGUGAACUUUGAUCUUGGUUAAUCUCUGUUUAUUACACUUGCUUAUUACUAUUUUAUCAUAUAUUGAUGUUCUUUUCUUUUCAUAGGAUUACACACUGAAGUACAACUUGCAAUUUUUUAUUUUUUUUUUAUUUUUUUUUUAAUAAUAUAGGAGAUAAUGUUAUAACUCACUCAAGAACGCAAGCUAUGGAUCUUCUCCAAGACAUACCUUUGAUUUUAACAAAAGAUAUAGUAGAACCCCAAUUAAAUAGGGAGUUAGAGAUGAUACUGAGACCAAAGGAAGUAGAGGAGAUUGCAAGGUGGUUGUUGGUAGACUCAAAUUCACCUGUGUCAGUUUUUCCUAUUGUUGGAAUUCCUGGCUCUGGCAAAACUUCUUUGGCGUACCUUCUUUAUCACCACCACAGACUCAGAAGGCAUUUCAACAGUAGAGGUUGGGUCCAUUGGGAAGACAUUUCUCAAGUCGCCGAACAAAUUGAUUUUGACCAUAAUUACUUGGUUGUAUUAGAGGACUUUCCUGAUGAGGAUGGUGAGAAAUGGUUUGAUUUGUUAGAGCCCUUGUCGUCUGCUUUUUCCAAGUGUAAACCUGGAACAAUAAUAAUAGUCACCUUCAGCUCUGCGUCUCUAGAUCCUCGAGUCCUUUUUCAGCUCCCGCUGGCUAAAGGUGCGCCCUUUUCAUUAAGAGCAUCAUUUCAUCCAGAGAAAUAGCAGAAGUGGACAGAAAUCCCCAUCUAAACGACACUGCUCUUAAAAUUUUUAACAAGUGUUCCAAUAAUCUCCGCGUCAUAAGAAUUGUAGCCUAUAUUCUUUCUUUUCAACCUCCUUCCAAAUGGAAGUACUUCAAUGAAGAUGUGUUCAACAUACAAAAUCCUGCAAAACAUAUUUUACCAAUUUUUGAUGUAAUACAACAAAUCCAACAUUUGCAAUUGAUUUCGCUGUUUCCACCUGAUCAUGAGUUUAACAAGGAAAAAUUAUACCAGCUUUGGGAUGCUCAACAGAAGCUUACAGAGCCCUUUAAAGAAUUGUUUGAGGCGCUUCUUGGCAACGAAAUUUUAUUCAAAUGUUCCAAAAGAGAUAGAAGUGGUGUCAUAGUCUGCUUCAAGGUCCAUCCUUUUGUGCAUGAGGUGACAAAGCAUUUCGCACGUAAUCGAUGCCUUAUGGUAGAAAGUCCUUAUUCCAUAUUUCGCAAAAUAAGACAUGUAAGCUUUACUGAUGACUUGUUUUGGAGGUUUUCAUCCAGGCAACUCAGGAAUCUGGAGUCUCUUGACUCUCUCCUUGUGUUACCUAGAAAGUCGUGCAACAUUUCUAGUGGUCAUAAGCUCAGUAUCCUGUUGGAAUCUCAUCUUAUGAGCUUGCAAGCUUUAGAUUUAGCCAUUUUGGAUUGUAGAAACUAUCUGAAUUCCAUUGGGAGGCUAAAAUACUUGAAGUACCUCAGACUUGGUUUCUCCUCUGAUGCUCUUCCCGAGUGAAUCACAAACCUCAAGUUCUUGCAAACUUUGGAUCUUCAACACUCUAGGGUUCGGGAGCUACCAAAAGGCUUUCAUAAAUUGAGCCAUUUGAAGCACUUGUAUAUUGGAGAUGGAUUGAUUGAUCUGCCGCCUAGGUUUGGGGAAUUAACAGGACUACAAACUUUAGAUAUCUUCAUUGUUGGAAAUAAUAAUGGGUUGGAUGCACUGGCUUGCUUCACUCAUCUUGCUGGAAAGCUAAUGGUUCGAUAUCAGAAUGGUCGUGAGGUGCAUGUAUUACCAGAGGAUACAACAUUUUUAAAGGACAAGAAGCUUCAUGAGCUCUCAUUAGAAUGGUCAUAUUCAAAUGCAGAACCAUCAGAAGAGAAAUACGAAAAGGAAGAUGACAUGGAGUUAGAAUUAUUGCAGCCUUCUUCCACCCUCAAAUUCCUAACAGUAAGGAACUGGAAGGGAGAUAGGUUUCCAUACAUAUAGCUGAUUGCACUCAAUGCAUUCAUCUUCCAUCCUUCAGUAAAAUUGGCUGUCUUAAGUCUCUUGAGCUGUGGGGGCUUAUUGCCUUGGAGUGGAUAGAAAAUUAUGAUAAUGACAGUAUGGUUUCAUCUGAAACACCAUUCUUCCCCUCCUUAGAGCAUCUGAGUUUGGUUAAUUUACCACAACUAAAAGGAUGGUCAAGAGUUAUAGAGCACAAUGCUGAUUACGAACAAGAGAAACAAAGGAAUCUCCCUCGACUUAAUGAUCUCAGACUAAGCGGUUGCCCAGAGUUGAUCUUAAUGCCUGAUAUGCCAACUCUUCAUUCAUUGGAGAUAAGCAACUGCCACAAGGAUCUCCUGCAACACUUUCUCAGUGUCCAAGCAUCAACAGCGGUAUCAUCAUCAUCAUCAGCUUCAGCAGUAGUUCCGGUACUUCAGAAUCUCUGCUCUUUGACAGUGUCAAAUAUGUCAAUAGAAGAACCCCUGCUAAUGGGCCUUAAGUGCCUCACAACACUUGAGGAACUCUCUCUCAGUUGGCUUUAUAAUCUCAGACUUCUACCAGAGUCGAUUGGACAUCUCAUCCAGCUCCGUCAGCUUGCCAUCAGAUAUUUGCCUAAUUUAUUGGAUCUCCCUGAAUCACUAGCAGGCCUCUCCGCUUUAGAACAUUUGGAGAUCCAAUAUUGUCCGAGAUUGAAACAAGUUCCAGGCUAUUUUUCUGAACUCGAGUCGAAAAACGGACUCCAUAUUAAGGAAUGUGUGAACCUGGAGAAGAUGUCAGCAACCUGAUGGACAACUAUGGCAAUCGGCAUCAUCAGUUUGUAAGCUAUAUCAAGGAUAUGUUAAGAAGCACGAGAUGUCGCUUUGGAUGUGUGCGAGCAAGGAGUACAUAAUUGUUCCAGGACCAAGAAGAGAGAGCAACCGAGAGUUCAAGAUUGAGAGGACAAGCUAAGGUAGAUCAUUUUUAAGUUCUCUGCCUCUCUGGUUCAAAGUUACUGAAUACUUUGUACUGUUAUUGCAGACUGAAAACAGAUGAUGCAGCUAGAGAAAUCUGUAAUUUAUAGUAAUUUGCUAAUUCUAGUUAUCUGUGAACCAAUUGGAAUAAUGU